GCAGGGUUAGUGUAACGGGAGCACGUUACUUCAAUUAAGGAGCCGUUCGACUCGGCACCCUGCCCCC
rnacentral:tRNA from 1 species